GACGAACGCUGGCGGCGUGCUUAACACAUGCGAGUCGAACGGAAAGGCCCUGCUUUUGUGGGGUGCUCGAGUGGCGAACGGGUGAGUAACACGUGAGUAACCUGCCCUUGACUUUGGGAUAACUUCAGGAAACUGGGGCUAAUACCGGAUAGGAGCUCCUGCUGCAUGGUGGGGGUUGGAAAGUUUCGGCGGUUGGGGAUGGACUCGCGGCUUAUCAGCUUGUUGGUGGGGUAGUGGCUUACCAAGGCUUUGACGGGUAGCCGGCCUGAGAGGGUGACCGGCCACAUUGGGACUGAGAUACGGCCCAGACUCCUACGGGAGGCAGCAGUGGGGAAUAUUGCACAAUGGGCGGAAGCCUGAUGCAGCAACGCCGCGUGCGGGAUGACGGCCUUCGGGCUGUAAACCGCUUUCGCCUGUGACGAAGCGUGAGUGACGGUAAUGGGUAAAGAAGCACCGGCUAACUACGUG
rnacentral:rRNA from 1 species